rnacentral:rRNA from 1 species
GAUGAACGCCGGCGGCGUGCUUAACACAUGCAAGUCGAACGGUGAAGGCGGAGCUUGCUCUGCUGGAUCAGUGGCGAACGGGUGAGUAACACGUGAGCAAUCUGCCCCUGACUCUGGGAUAAGCGCUGGAAACGGCGUCUAAUACUGGAUACGAGCUGCGAAGGCAUCUUCAGCAGCUGGAAAGAAUUUCGGUCAGGGAUGAGCUCGCGGCCUAUCAGCUUGUUGGUGAGGUAAUGGCUCACCAAGGCGUCGACGGGUAGCCGGCCUGAGAGGGUGACCGGCCACACUGGGACUGAGACACGGCCCAGACUCCUACGGGAGGCAGCAGUGGGGAAUAUUGCACAAUGGGCGAAAGCCUGAUGCAGCAACGCCGCGUGAGGGACGACGGCCUUCGGGUUGUAAACCUCUUUUAGCAGGGAAGAAGCGAAAGUGACGGUACCUGCAGAAAAAGCGCCGGCUAACUACGUG